rnacentral:tRNA from 1 species
GAAUAUAGCUAAGUUGGUAGAGUGCUUGCCUUGCAUGCAUAAGGCCCUGGGUUCGAUCCCCAGCACCAUUCA